rnacentral:rRNA from 1 species
AACGAACGCUGGCGGCGCGCCUAAUACAUGCAAGUCGAGCGAGAAGACGUAGCAAUACGUUUGUAAAGCGGCGAACGGGUGAGGAAUACAUGGGUAACCUACCCUCGAGUGGGGAAUAACUAGCCGAAAGGUUAGCUAAUACCGCGUACGCUCCUUGGACUUCGGUUCAGGGAGGAAAGCGAUACCGUGGGUAUCGCGCUCUUGGAUGGGCUCAUGUCCUAUCAGCUUGUUGGUGAGGUAACGGCUCACCAAGGCUUCGACGGGUAGCUGGUCUGAGAGGACGAUCAGCCACACUGGCACUGCGACACGGGCCAGACUCCUACGGGAGGCAGCAGUAAGGAAUAUUGCGCAAUGGGCGAAAGCCUGACGCAGCGACGCCGCGUGGGGGAUGAAGGUCUUCGGAUUGUAAACCCCUUUCGGGAGGGAAGAUGGAACGAGCAAUCGUUCGGACGGUACCUCCAGAAGCAGCCACGGCUAACUUCGUGCCAGCAGCCGCAGUAAC